rnacentral:rRNA from 1 species
UACGAAGGGGGCUAGCGUUGUUCGGAAUUACUGGGCGUAAAGCGCGCGUAGGCGGCUUUGUAAGUUAGAGGUGAAAGCCCGGAGCUCAACUUCGGAAUUGCCUUUAAGACUGCAUCGCUUGAAUCAUGGAGAGGUCAGUGGAAUUCCGAGUGUAGAGGUGAAAUUCGUAGAUAUUCGCAGGAACACCAGUGGCGAAGGCGGCUCACUGGUCCAUAACUGACGCUGAGGUGCGAAAGCGUGGGGAGCAAACAGG